rnacentral:rRNA from 1 species
UGCAGUCGAACGCUUUGUGCUUAAUUGAUAUGACGAGCUUGCUCUGAUUUGAUUUUUUGAUUUCAAAGAGUGGCGAACGGGUGAGUAACACGUGGGUAACCUACCUCUUAGCAGGGGAUAACAUUUGGAAACAAGUGCUAAUACCGUAUAAUACCAACAACCGCAUGGUUGUUGGUUGAAAGAUGGUUCUGCUAUCACUAAGAGAUGGACCCGCGGUGCAUUAGCUAGUUGGUAAGGUAAUGGCUUACCAAGGCAAUGAUGCAUAGCCGAGUUGAGAGACUGAUCGGCCACAAUGGGACUGAGACACGGCCCAUACUCCUACGGGAGGCAGCAGUAGGGAAUCUUCCACAAUGGGCGCAAGCCUGAUGGAGCAACGCCGCGUGUGUGAUGAAGGGUUUCGGCUCGUAAAACACUGUUAUAAGAGAAGAACGGCACUGAGAGUAACUGUUCAGUGUGUGACGGUAUCUUACCAGAAAGGAACGGCUAAAUACGUGCCAGCAGCCGCGGUAAUACGUAUGUUCCAAGCGUUAUCCGGAUUUAUUGGGCGUAAAGCGAGCGCAGACGGUUAUUUAAGUCUGAAGUGAAAGCCCUCAGCUCAACUGAGGAAUUGCUUUGGAAACUGGAUGACUUGAGUGCAGUAGAGGAAAGUGGAACUCCAUGUGUAGCGGUGAAAUGCGUAGAUAUAUGGAAGAACACCAGUGGCGAAGGCGGCUUUCUGGACUGUAACUGACGUUGAGGCUCGAAAGUGUGGGUAGCAAACAGGAUUAGAUACCCUGGUAGUCCACACCGUAAACGAUGAGUGCUAGAUGUUCGAGGGUUUCCGCCCUUGAGUGUCGCAGCUAACGCAUUAAGCACUCCGCCUGGGGAGUACGACCGCAAGGUUGAAACUCAAAGGAAUUGACGGGGACCCGCACAAGCGGUGGAGCAUGUGGUUUAAUUCGAAGCAACGCGAAGAACCUUACCAGGUCUUGACAUCCCUUGACAACGCUAGAAAUAGCGCGUUCCCUUCGGGGACAAGGUGACAGGUGGUGCAUGGUUGUCGUCAGCUCGUGUCGUGAGAUGUUGGGUUAAGUCCCGCAACGAGCGCAACCCUUAUUAUUAGUUGCCAGCAUUCA